CGGAGGGUGCAAGCGUUAUCCGGAUUCACUGGGUUUAAAGGGUGUGUAGGCGGAUAUUUAAGUCAGUGGUGAAAUCUCCGGGCUCAACCCGGAAACUGCCAUUGAUACUAUUUAUCUUGAAUAUCGUUGAGGUUGGCGGAAUAUAUCAUGUAGCGGUGAAAUGCAUAGAUAUGAUAUAGAACACCGAUUGCGAAGGCAGCUAACUAAACGAUUAUUGACGCUGAGGCACGAAAGCGUGGGGAUCAAACAGGAUUAGAUACCCUGGUAGUCCACGCCCUAAACUAUGAUUACUCGACAUACGCGAUACACAGUGUGUGUCUGAGCGAAAGCAUUAAGUAAUCCACCUGGGAGUACGUCCGCAAGGAUG
rnacentral:rRNA from 1 species